CAAUAGCGUAUAUUAAAGUUGUUGCGGUUAAAAAGCUCGUAGUUGGAUUUCUGCUGAGGACGACCGGUCCGCCCUCUGGGUGAGUAUCUGACUUGGCCUUGGCAUCUUCUUGGAGAACGUAGCUGCACUUGACUGUGUGGUGCGGUAUCCAGGACUUUUACUUUGAGGAAAUUAGAGUGUUUCAAGCAGGCACACGCCUUGAAUACAUUAGCAUGGAAUAAUAAUCUAGGACUUCGGUUCUAUUUUGUUUGGUUUCUUAGAUCUGAAGUAAUGAUUGAUAGGGAGUAGUUGGGGGUGGCUAGUAUUAAGGGGCCGAGAGGUGGAAAUUCUUGGUAUUCUCUUAAGACUAACUUAAUGCGAAAGACAUUCACCAAGGAUGUCUUCUUUAAUCAAGAACGAAAGUUGGGGGAUCGAAGAUGAUUAGAUACCA
rnacentral:rRNA from 1 species